CAGCUUGAAAGGAAAACAGUUUCGGCAAGCAAAAUAUAACGGAACCAGAUACUCACAUACAAAGUGUUCAAUACUCAAAAUAAGGACAGAGUUACCCUCUUUCUUCGCGACCAGAGAAGAUCGGCCUUCAAUCAACAGAGAAAACCUUAGGUCCAACACCGGAAACCGUAGGUUUUGAAACUCACCGGAAUAAGGUCACAAACACCGGAAAGUUACCCAAAACGUCUAUCAAGCAAAGACAAAGUCAUCGGAUAACACCAAAGCUCUAGGUCCGAAAGUUGGAAAACCCUAGAAUUUGAAGAACUCGUCGGAAUAAAACCAGGGAUGCCGGAAAAUUACCCAAAACACCCACUGAUACAAGAUCGGAACCUUGAAUAACAAGAAAACUCCGAUUAUCCACUCAACAUUCGUGGAAACAUCUCCAAACAGUAUCUCUCACCGAUAACCAUAAAAAAAAACUUCAGCAAAAAGCUUCGAACAGGAUCGAUAACACGCAACCAAGAAGGAUCCGAAGAUCAUCCGGCUCUGAUACCAUGAAAACGUGAAGAUUAAGCUGAAGAACAUGAAGGAUAUAGUGAGAGAAAUAAGAGAGAGAAAAGAUCAUCCGGCUCUGAUACCAUGAAAACGUGAAGAUUAAGCUGAAGAACAUAAAUGAUAUAGUGAGAGAAAUAAGAGAGAGAAAUGGAGUAGUUGAGAGAACUCUCCAGAAGAUCGAGAAAAUCUGUCAAGUAAAAAUGAAUCACUUAAUUACAAAAUAUCUAUACCUAACUAUAUACAUCACUCCACUCUUGGGUCGAGUCAGACGGCCAAGACUAAAAUAAACUUGGGCUCAGAUAUGGGCUUAG
rnacentral:lncRNA from 1 species